UACAGAGGGGGCAAGCGUUGUUCGGAAUUACUGGGCGUAAAGGGCGCGUAGGCGGUGCGGUAAGUCACUUGUGAAAUCUCUGAGCUUAACUCAGAACGGCCAAGUGAUACUGCAGUACUAGAGUGCAGAAGGGGCAAUCAGAAUUCUUGGUGUAGCGGUGAAAUGCGUAGAUAUCAAGAGGAAUACCUGAGGUGAAGACGGGUUGCUAGGCUGACACUGACGCUGAGGCGCGAAAGCCAGGGGAGCAAACGGG
rnacentral:rRNA from 1 species